rnacentral:rRNA from 1 species
AUUGAACGCUGGCGGCAUGCUUUACACAUGCAAGUCGAACGGUAACAGGCCGCAAGGUGCUGACGAGUGGCGAACGGGUGAGUAACGCAUCGGAACGUGCCCAGUCGUGGGGGAUAACGCAGCGAAAGCUGUGCUAAUACCGCAUACGAUCUGUGGAUGAAAGCGGGGGACCGUAAGGCCUCGCGCGAUUGGAGCGGCCGAUGUCAGAUUAGGUAGUUGGUGGGGUAAAGGCUCACCAAGCCGACGAUCUGUAGCUGGUCUGAGAGGACGACCAGCCACACUGGGACUGAGACACGGCCCAGACUCCUACGGGAGGCAGCAGUGGGGAAUUUUGGACAAUGGGCGCAAGCCUGAUCCAGCAAUGCCGCGUGCGGGAAGAAGGCCUUCGGGUUGUAAACCGCUUUUGUCAGGGAAGAAACGAGUUUCUCUAAUACAGAGACUUAAUGACGGUACCUGAAGAAUAAGCACCGGCUAACUACGUGCCAGCCGCCGCCGUAAGAC